rnacentral:lncRNA from 1 species
CUGAAUAUAACAAAUAAGGAAAUAUUUUCAGCAUAGUACUAUACGUAAUAGAGACUAGGUUCAUCAGAUUCUUAUCAAGGAAAUGCCAGUAAGAAUCAAGUACCAAUGUAACCAUGGUAAGGGGAUUAAUCAAAUUGAGUAGAAAAGGUAGGGAUCGAAGGUUGAAAGGAAAGUGUUCAAAUCAGACCAAGAAAUAGGGAAACGAGUAAGGUGAAACAAGGAAAGAAUCAAAUAUUUAACAUAUGAGUGCAGUUAGAGUUUUACAUGGAAUGGUUUGAAAUCAAUCCAUAAUUGAAGGUCAUUCAAGAGUGGAAUUCAGCAUAUAAAUAGAGUACAUGAACAUUAGGCAUGCGAGGCUACACUAUGGCACAGAAAAGCAGCAUGCAAUAACAAUCACAAAGUCAGUAGACACUGAACUAUCGAAACAUGAUAGUCACGUAGGUCAACUUCAUUAAC